rnacentral:tRNA from 1 species
AUAUAUGUAGUUUAUACAAAACAUUACAUUUUCAUUGUAACAAUAAAUGAAUACAUUUCAUAUAUU